AUUGAACGCUGGCGGCAGGCCUAACACAUGCAAGUCGAGCGGAGCGGCGGACGGGUGAGUUAUGCCUAGGAAUCUGCCUGGUAGUGGGGGAUAACGUCCGGAAACGGGCGCUAAUACCGCAUACUAUCAGAUGAGCCUAGGUCGGAUUAGCUGGUUGGUGGGGUAAAGGCCUACCAAGGCGACGAUCCGUAACUGGUCUGAGAGGAUGAUGAGUCACACUGGGACUGGGACACGGCCCAGAUUCCUACGGGAGGCAGCAGUGGGGAAUUUUGGACAAUGGGGGAAACCCUGAUCCAGCCAUCCCGCGUGUGCGAGGAAGGCCUUCGGGUUGUAAAGCACUUUUGGCAGGAAAGCGGUACCUGCAGAAUAAGCACCGGCUAACUACGUGCCAGCCGCCGCGGUAAUAC
rnacentral:rRNA from 1 species